GUCUGGUGCCAGCAGCCGCGGUAAUUCCAGCUCCAGAAGCAUAUGCUAAAGUUGUUGCAGUUAAAAAGCUCGUAGUUGAAUUUCUGGCAUGGGCGACCGGUGCUUUCCCUGAAUGGGGAUUGAUUGUCUGUGUUGCCUUGGCCAUCUUUUUCUUUUCUUUAUUGAUGAGAAAUCUUUCACUGUAAUCAAAGCAGAGUGUUCCAAGCAGGUCGUAUGACCGGUAUGUUUAUUAUGGGAUGAUAAGAUAGGACUUGGGUGCUAUUUUGUUGGUUUGCACGCCUGAGUAAUGGUUAAUAGGAACAGUUGGGGGUAUUCGUAUUUAGGAGCUAGAGGUGAAAUUCUUGGAUUUCCGAAAGACGAACUAGAGCGAAGGCAUUUACCAAGCAUGUUUUCAUUAAUCAAGAACGAAAGUUAGGGGAUCGAAGACGUCAGAUACCG
rnacentral:rRNA from 1 species